rnacentral:rRNA from 1 species
AACGAACGCUGGCGGCAUGCCUAACACAUGCAAGUCGAACGAGACCUUCGGGUCUAGUGGCGCACGGGUGCGUAACGCGUGGGAACCUGCCCUUAGGUUCGGAAUAACUCCCCGAAAGGGGUGCUAAUACCGGAUAAUGUCUUCGGACCAAAGAUUUAUCGCCUUUGGAUGGGCCCGCGUUGGAUUAGCUAGUUGGUAGGGUAAAAGCCUACCAAGGCGACGAUCCAUAGCUGGUCUGAGAGGAUGAUCAGCCACACUGGGACUGAGACACGGCCCAGACUCCUACGGGAGGCAGCAGUGGGGAAUAUGGGACAAUGGGCGAAAGCCUGAUCCAGCAAGGCCGCGGGAGUGAUGAAGGCCUUAGGGUGGUAAAGCUCUUUUACCCGGGAUGAUAAGGACAGGACCGGGAGAAUAAGCUCCGGCGAACUCCGG